rnacentral:rRNA from 14 species
GUCAAGUGACUAAGUGCAUGUGGUGGAUGCCUUGGCGAUUACAGGCGACGAAGGACGUGAUAGCCUGCGAUAAGCUUCGGGGAGCUGGCAAAUUAGCUUUGAUCCGGAGAUUUCCGAAUGGGGAAACCCACCGAAAGGUAUCGUAUUCUGAAUACAUAGGGAUACGAGGCGAACCGGGUGAACUGAAACAUCUCAGUAGCUCGAGGAAAAGACAUCAACCGAGAUUCCGAAAGUAGUGGCGAGCGAAAUCGGAGUAGCCCUCGCGUUUUAGCAGUUUGUAUAUCAGAACGGAAUGGAAAGUCCGGCCACAGCGGGUGAUAGCCCCGUAUGAGAAAUGCAGAUUGUGGAACUAGGCGCGAAUAGAGUAGGGCGGGACACGUGAAAUCCUGUCUGAAUAUGGGGGGAC